rnacentral:rRNA from 1 species
UACGAGGGGGGCGAGCGUUGUUCGGAAUUAUUGGGCGUAAAGGGCGCGUAGGCGGUGCGGUAAGUCACCUGUGAAACCCCCGGGCUCAACUCGGGGCCUGCAGGCGAAACUGCCGUGCUGGAGUGCGGAAGAGGUGAGUGGAAUUCCCGGUGUAGCGGUGAAAUGCGUAGAUAUCGGGGAGGAACACCUGUCGGCGAAAGGCGGACUCGACUGG